rnacentral:rRNA from 1 species
CUUUUUAGAAGUAGGUAAUACACCCAAAACACACCAUAGAUAUGUUUUCCACCAACGUAUUAACAACAUACAAGAAAGUUCUUUUAGAUCUCUCAUAACUACUUGAUCCUAACCAACGUACUCUAUCAGCACAGUGUUUAAAUCUCUCCCUCCCUUAUGUCCUCGUUCAGAGUUCCAGAUCGAGGGUAAACACAACCUAGUCACUUCACACGCGAAACGCCGUACAAUUUAACCUCAACCUCAAUUCUUUCUAGUUAGAGGAACCUAACAGACCACCUACCCCAAGGUAAACAAGAUCCUAAUGAGAACUUGACGUUCACUCGUUUUGGAUAUAAGUCGAAUCUGAUCAAUUCAGUAACUGGUCCUUAACGACGCUACUUAUACGUUAGUCCGGUUAGGGAAAGUGUGAGUAUACUACAUUGUACCUGCCAUGUUCCCUUUACCACCCGAAAAAAAAGCGUUUUCCUUUUACGAUGAGUGGACCAAACGGACUGCAGAAGUCACAAGCAUCAAUGAGGCCUUUAGGAUAAUACGACGUGAGAGCGUCGUCUCUAUUUCUACCCCUGUUUUUUUCUAUUUUCCUUUGUUUUUCCUUGUUUUCAAUAUAGACUUUAUGGGAAGUAGGCCAGUGUAAAUAAAUUCACCCGCCUCCUCACGUCCUGCUUCUCCUAUCAGUGACAGGAGGGAGGUGGUUUAGGGGUUCUCCAAGUAGUACAGUAUCGCCGUAGAACCCUCCAGUCCUCCACCGUCACCACACGCUAUACCCACCGCCGCUUCACGUACCCUCCCCAUCGCUGUUACGACCGGCGAGCACCACCUCCUGCCCUGUCUCCACCACCACUUUCUCGUAUU